rnacentral:misc_RNA from 1 species
GAUGAAGAACGUAGCGAAAUGCGAUACGUAAUGUGAAUUGCAGAAUUCAGUGAAUCAUCUAGUCUUUGAACGCACAUUGCGCCCCCUGGUAUUCCGGGGGGCAUGCCUGUCCGAGCGUCAUUGCUGCCCUCAAGCACGGCUUGUGUGUUGGGCCUCCGUCCUCCUCCCGGGGGACGGGCCCGAAAGGCAGCGGCGGCACCGCGUCCGGUCCUCGAGCGUAUGGGGCUUCGUCACCCGCUCUUGUAGGCCCGGCCGGCGCUUGCCGACACAUCAAUCUUUUUUCCAGGUUGACCUCGGAUCAGGUAGGGAUACCCGCUGAACUUAAGCAUAUCAAUAAGCGGAGGA